GGGCCAGUAGCUUAGUCAGGUAAAGCGAUUGCGGGUCAAGCAACUGUUCGCGGGUUCAAAUCUCGCCUGGUCCA
rnacentral:tRNA from 1 species